rnacentral:lncRNA from 1 species
GGGCUUAUGGCUUUUCCUUUGUCUUAGGUGGUUGAGAGACAGAACAGUUUGACUUGAGCACUAACUUUCUCAUUCUUAGCAAGUUUCAUAUCAGAGGUUUUGUGAUAUUUUCAAAAGAAAGCUUAAAUGUUCCUCUUAUGGUUCUCUCAUGUCACUCAAAUGGUGUAUGAUUCCUCACCAAGGCAUAUGGUAAGAGUUGCCUUCUCUAUUUCAUCCUAUUUCUAAAAGGCUUAUGUGGAGUUCAAGGUAGGGAUGAAAGGAGAUAGCAUACUUACUUUGCAUGUAUUGCGAAGUCAAAGCUCGGAUCCUUGAAGAGAAGUGUCAUACUCCCAGAUCAAGAUGUGCAAGUGUGAUAUAUGGUGGACUAGGUUGCUCCUUUAUUUGAUAGACUCUCUAUGUAUUGAGACAUGGCUAGCAUUUUUUUCUUUUUUUCUUUUUUCUUUUUUUUUAUAUAUGAGCUUUCAUGUGCUCAAUUUUCUUUUUCUGUGGACUUGCACAUGUCCAUCUUUUUAUUUCAUUUUGCCUAGCCUUUUGAUGUCUCAUUUACCAAAUAAUGCUUAGAGAGAUGUUCUAACAUUUAGAGUAUGGAGCAACCUAUUUAGUGGAUGCGAAAUACAUGUGGUUGCGUACUUCCAGUGUAGAAGCAGCAUAUAUAUAUGUGGUGUGUACGUGAUCUUGAUCUUAGGAGCAUGAAAAGUCUCUUAACAAGGGUCAACAAGACUUGACGACACUCAACACAAAGCAAAUAGCUUAUGUGGAAAGGUUGCAAUUAUGUAAAGUAGAUAUGGCUGUGGUAGGAAUUCAUCACCAUUGAGGAACAAUUAAGGUUUUGAUCAUUUUAAGAAUAAAUCUCUGAUAAUCAUGCAUGCUUAGAAAAAUAUUAUAGUAGCUCUUGUCUUACUAUCUCAUGUCCCACAACAACUUAGACUUAGUUCUAGUACUUGCAACCCACAAAGUUUUUUGGUUCAUGGCAGUUUAAGUGAGCUAAGUGAUCCAUACUUAGAGAAAUACUAAGUUGUAUACUAGGCACUAGAGAAACAUUAACAAGCAGCUAGUCAUAAUUUCCAUGAGGGAUAUAAACAUACAUGAAGCAUAUAUGCUAAAGGGAAAUGCUAAUAAAUAUUUAUUUAUUUUAUUAUUUUUUUUAGGUAAGAAUGAUAAAAUGCAUGAAAAUAAAUAGGAUAGAAUACUUACCUUAGUGGGGGAGAGGAUCUCCCCCAAGCUAGAUCUUCGCUCACUGUGGUGGCGGGAAAUUUUGGUACCAUCCAGCCCAGCGUUGU